UACGUAGGUGGCAAGCGUUAUCCGGAAUUAUUGGGCGUAAAGAGCGCGCAGGCGGUUGCUUAAGUCUGAUGUGAAAGCCCACGGCUUAACCGUGGAGGGUCAUUGGAAACUGGUCAGCUUGAGUGCAGAAGAGGGAAGUGGAAUUCCAUGUGUAGCGGUGAAAUGCGUAGAGAUAUGGAGGAACACCAGUGGCGAAGGCGGCUUCCUGGUCUGUAACUGACACUGAGGCGCGAAAGCGUGGGGAGCAAACAGG
rnacentral:rRNA from 1 species